UAAUGUAUGGGGAUCUGCCCGAUAGAGGGGGAUAACUACUGGAAACGGUGGCUAAUACCGCAUAAUGUCUACGGACCGAAGCAGGGGCUCUUCGGACCUUGCACUAUCGGAUGAACCCAUAUGGGAUUAGCUAGUAGGUGGGGUAAAGGCUCACCUAGGCGACGAUCUCUAGCUGGUCUGAGAGGAUGAUCAGCCACACUGGGACUGAGACACGGCCCAG
rnacentral:rRNA from 1 species